GGAGGCUAUAUACAGGGGGUACCGGUACAGAGUCAAUGUGGAGGCUAUAUACAGGGGGUACCGGUACAGAGUCAAUGUGGAGGCUAUAUACAGGGGGUAUUACAGUACAGAGUCAAUGUGGAGGCUAUAUACAGGGGGUACCGGUACAGAGUCAAUGUGGAGGCUAUAUACAGGGGGUAUUACAGUACAGAGUCAAUGUGGAGGCUAUAUACAGGGUGUUAUGGUACAGAGUCAAUGUGGAGGCUAUAUACAGGGUGUACCGGUACAGAGUCAAUGUGGAGGCUAUAUACAGGGUGCACCGGUACAGAGUCAAUGUGGAGGCUAUAUACAGGGGGUACCGGUACAGAGUCAAUGUGGAGGCUAUAUACAGGGGGUACCGGUACAGAGUCAAUGUGGAGGCUAUAUACAGGGAGGUACAGGUACAGAGUCAAUGUGGAGGCUAUAUACAGGGGGUACCGGUACAGAGUCAAUGUGGAGGCUAUAUACAGGGGUAUUACGGUACAGAGUCAAUGUGGAGGCUAUAUACAGGGGGUACCGGUACAGAGUCAAUGUGGAGGCUAUAUACAGGGGGUAUUACGGUACAGAGUCAAUGUGGAGGCUAUAUACAGGGGGUACCAGUACAGAGUCAAUGUGGAGGCUAUAUACAGGGGUACAGGUACAGAGUCAAUGUGGAGGCUAUAUACAAGGGGUAUUCCGGUACAGAGUCAAUGUGGAGGCUAUAUACAGGGGGUAUUACAGUACAGAGUCAAUGUGGAGGCUAUAUACAGGGGGUACCGGUACAGAGUCAAUGUGGAGGCUAUAUACAGGGGGUAUUACGGUACAGAGUCAAUGUGGAGGCUAUAUACAGGGGGUACCGGUACAGAGUCAAUGUGGAGGCUAUAUACAGGGUAUUACGGUACAGAGUCAAUGUGAGGGCUAUAUACAGGGG
ensembl:lncRNA